rnacentral:lncRNA from 1 species
AUUCCAGGUGGAUUUUAGAGCAGGAUGUUCCCAGCUCCAAAUUCCAGGUGGAUUUUAGAGCAGGAUGUUCCCAGCUCCACAAUCAGGUGGAUUUUAGAGCAGGAUGUUCCCAGCUCCAAAUUCCAGGUGGAUGUUGGACAGGAUUCCA